rnacentral:lncRNA from 1 species
CAAAUUCUGUUAAACACUAUUCCUUGAAAUUCUCUAAAAAAGUAUUUAUAUGUUCCAUUAUAAGUAUCUAAUUAGCCAAAGAUAUGAAAGACAAUCAAAAAUACUUUGUUUCAUUUGAGACUCUAUACCAGAAACUGGUAAUAAAUCUGUUAAUUGAAAACAGUCAAUAUCAUUAGGGAAAGAGUUCAUCAAACUCAAAGAUUCACUGCAGUGAGAAAAACACUAAGGCUCAUAUUUCAAGUCAAGAGGAUAGUGUAGGAUUUAAACCACAUUCACUAUGAAUAACUACACAACUAAUGUGUCACUACAUAUUAACUCAUUAUUGACCGGGGGGAUUUUUGCUG